rnacentral:rRNA from 1 species
GAUGAACGCUGGCGGCGUGCCUAACACAUGCAAGUCGAACGAAGCACUUAUAAAGAUUCCUUCGGGAUGAAGUAUUUGUGACUUAGUGGCGGACGGGUGAGUAACGCGUGGGUAACCGUGCCUUAUUACAGGGGAGGGGUAACUAACGUUAGGUUAAAGUAAGUACGUACGUCGUAACUUAAACCGUACCCGACUAAAGUAACGGCCGACCAACGUACGUUCCGUCCGACUAGGGUACGGGAACGUAGGUUGGU